rnacentral:rRNA from 1 species
UUUUGAAUUUAAUUUAAGGUUUAACCUGCUCAAUGAUUAAUUAAAUUGCCGCGGUAUUUUGACUGUGCAAAGGUAGCAUAAUAAUUAGUUUUUUAAUUGAAAGCUGGAAUGAAUGGUUGGACGAGAAAACAGCUGUCUCUUUUUUAUUAUAUAUUGAAUUUAAUUUUUUAGUAAGAAUACUAAAAUUUUUUUAAAAGACGAGAAGACCCUUUAGAGUUUAAUUAAUAGAAAUUAAAUUUUAAUAGGAAUUUUUUGUAUUUGAUUUUUAUUAGUUUGGUUGGGGUGACUAGAAGAUAAAAUAAACUCUUUUUUUAAAAAACAGUGAUUUCUGAAUAAAUAAUCUAGAUUUUUAAAUUUAAAAUAAAUUACCUAAGGGAUAACAGCGUAAUUUUCCU